rnacentral:lncRNA from 1 species
UGUGAAAUGUCCGUAAAGUAUCAUCACAUGAUUGGCUUUAGGGCACAUUUCCAACAAAUCUAGCGGGAGUCACCACAAGUGACCUAUACAGCACUACACUGCACACGAGUCAAAAUCACUGUAAAGGUCUGUACGACAAGAUUGGGUGUAAUAUAGUUAUGCUCAAUGCUACGCUCUCAUGAUAGCAGUGCGAUAAAUUGCUAGUCACCUACAAGUCAGAACCACCUAUAAUGGUCUGUACGACAAGACUGUGCACCUAAAUUGGAUCUAAUGUGAGCAUAUGGUGCGGGAGGUGACAUCAUAAAUAGGCUUGUACCAUA